GUUGUGACCUCAACCCCCUGCUGGUAGGGUCCCACCUUUCACUGGCCUCCCUCGGCCUCCACAGGGCACCUGUUAGAACUGUGUGCAAACCACGAGGGAAUAGGCGCUGAGGGGCUCUCUCGGGAGUGAACUCGCCAACUUAGUGUUUGGAGGUUGUGCCUCAAGUUACGGCUGCCCUGAUAAGGAAGCUGAAGACCGGAGAAAUCAACCAGCUUGCUGAAGGUUGCUUGGCUGGUAAGCGGUAGUGCCUCGAAGAUGUCCCUGAGUCAGCCCUUUUCUCUGGACUCUCCGCUCUGCUGCGGGCCUAGACUGCAGUCCCCACUGCCACCCACCGGGCUGGCCUUCUAGUGCCCUCCCUUCCCUUUGCGCACUAUUGGUCACAAGUUCCUGGCUUCUCUCAAUUAGUAGCCCCAGGCCUAUGCCUGGCCAUGAUAUCUCCUUCAGAGAGGGGUGAGAUUUGACAGGACCCAGAAGAACAGGCAGAGGGUACGGGGAGGCCAGGAAGAGGCCAGAAAUCAAGGCUGGUGAUUUGCAAAUGCAGAGCCCAUGGCAGCAUCCAUGGCGUCUACUGGUUCCCUCUCCAGCUCGCUCACUGGCAGUUGCUGGGCUAUAGCUUCAUGGGCUGAUGGUGGCCGAGCACCACCACCACCCAGCAGACACUAAGGAGCACGGUGAAAAAGCCUGGGCUUUGGGGCCAGACAGUCCUGUGUUCAGAUCCCAGCUCUGUCCCUUAGAAGCUCUGCAAGUUUGAGGAAGUUCCAUGGGAAGGUGAUCUCUUUGAGCCUUAGACUUCCAAGCAAUAAAAUG
rnacentral:lncRNA from 10 species